CCCUAGCCCUGAUGGAAGCGGUAUCCUUUUAUGGCAGGGUUUGACAUAAAAGAUAUAGCGUACAGCAGGAAAUAGC
rnacentral:sRNA from 2 species